CCAUGCUGGCACUCGCUUCCCCAUUGGUUCAAGAAACCUGAAUUUGUUGACCUUUGGAGUCCAUUAUAAGGACAGGUCUCUGCCUGAGAUGAAGAUGAUGGAGGAUUUCUAAGGAGCUGUCUGCCAGAAAGAGGUGAGACCAAGUGCCAUUUGGGAGAUGUAGUCCAACCAGGGAUCCCAGCCUAUAAAAGAGAAUGGAAGCACAAAGCACCCAAACUACAGCUUCCAUGAGGCAUAGG